rnacentral:rRNA from 1 species
UACGAAGGGGGCUAGCGUUGCUCGGAAUCACUGGGCGUAAAGGGUGCGUAGGCGGGUUUUUAAGUCAGGGGUGAAAUCCUGGAGCUCAACUCCAGAACUGCCUUUGAUACUGAAGAUCUUGAGUUCGGGAGAGGUGAGUGGAACUGCGAGUGUAGAGGUGAAAUUCGUAGAUAUUCGCAAGAACACCAGUGGCGAAGGCGGCUCACUGGCCCGAUACUGACGCUGGACGGCACGAAAGCGUGGGGAGCAAACAG